rnacentral:rRNA from 1 species
UACGUAGGGGCCAAGCGUUGUCCGGAUUUAUUGGGCGUAAAGAGCUCGUAGGCGGUUCGGUAAGUCGGAUGUGAAAUCUCCACGCUCAACGUGGAGGGGUCAUUCGAUACUGCCGUGACUCGAGUCCGGUAGGGGAGUGUGGAAUUCCCGGUGUAGCGGUGAAAUGCGCAGAGAUCGGGAGGAACACCCGUAGCGAAGGCGGCACUCUGGGCCGGUACUGACGCUGAGGAGCGAAAGCGUGGGGAGCGAACAGG